rnacentral:sRNA from 1 species
AUGAGCUAGGGCUGUCAAGAGCGUCCCUUUGUAACUACCAUGGAGAAACGUACCGUCGACAACAACAACUCUGCGCAUGUAAUGAAACCCAGCGAUACUGGCACCAAAUGCAAUGAACAUAUAGUUGAAUCUUCUACUCUCAUCAAUUUGAAGACGCGCGACUGUACCCGGAUUUGCCCGUCUUAUCAUGUAUAGGUAAGAAGGCAGUUCUUCAAAACUACUAUCAUG